UACGUAGGGUGCGAGCGUUGUCCGGAAUUACUGGGCGUAAAGAGCUCGUAGGUGGUUUGUCGCGUUGUUCGUGAAAACCGGGGGCUUAACCCCUCGGCGUGCGGGCGAUACGGGCAGACUAGAGUUCGGCAGGGGAGACUGGAAUUCCUGGUGUAGCGGUGAAAUGCGCAGAUAUCGGGAGGAACACCAAUGGCGAAGGCAGCUCGCUGGGACGGUACUGACGCUGAGGCGCGAAAGCGUGGGGAGCAAACAGGG
rnacentral:rRNA from 1 species